GCCGGGGUGGUGGAACUGGUAGACACAGGAGACUUAAAAUCUCCUGGCCCUCGGGCCGUACGGGUUCAAGUCCCGUCCCCGGUA
rnacentral:tRNA from 1 species